rnacentral:rRNA from 1 species
AGCGAACGCUGGCGGCAGGCUUAACACAUGCAAGUCGAACGCCCCGCAAGGGGAGUGGCAGACGGGUGAGUAACACGUGGGAACGUACCCUUUGGUUCGGAAUAACUUGGGGAAACUCAAGCUAAUACCGGAUAAGCCCUUAGGGGGAAAGGUUUACUGCCGAAGGAUCGGCCGGCGUCUGAUUAGCUAGUUGGUGAGGUAAUGGCUCACCAAGGCGAGGAUCAGUAGCUGGUCUGAGAGGAUGAUCAGCCACACUGGGACUGAGACACGGCCCAGACUCCUACGGGAGGCAGCAGUGGGGAAUAUUGGACAAUGGGGGCAACCCUGAUCCAGCCAUGCCGCGUGAGUGAUGAAGGCCUUAGGGUUGUAAAGCUCUUUUACCCGGGACGAUAAUGACUGUACCGGGAGAAUAAGCCCCGGCUAACUUCGUGCCAGCAGCCGCCGUAA